AUUUAAUAUUCAUUAUAUUAUUAAUAAUUUAUAUAUGUUAAAAAUCCCAGUGCUGUACAGUCAAUUCUCUUGCAUAACUUAGACAGGGUAUGAUUUGAAAUCUUCCACAAAAAAAGAAAGGCUGUGCUCUCAAUGCAGCGAAUCAUCUUUUCAAUGUUCAAGAAGUUCGGAUAUAAUGAAAAACCCCUGAGAUAAUAAAUAAUAAAAUGCGUUAAGCAAACAAAUGCCACAGAAUGUCCUUGGGACUUAUACAUAGGGGCGGACAGUAAUCGAAAUGUCGUUGAGGUAGACUGCAGCUGCACUGCUGGUAGUUGCAAACAUAUAUUUAAUAUUAUACCUCGUAAAUUUUAUUUAUCAAGUAAGAACUGAAUCCUUAAGGAAUGAAUCUUGCUUAUUCAAUUCAUUCAAAAAUAAAUCAAUCUUUUUUUCUAUAUAAAUACGAAGGGCAAAUUGACAUGAAAGUUUGUUAUUCAGCAACUGGAUACAGUAUUUGAAAAAAAAAAGUGAAGUUAUUCCAAAAGCAGAUUAGAAUUUCUGCCCAGAAACUAAGGCAUAUUUAAGAAAAUAUCAAACUGAAUUGACAAUAUCAUUCCUUAAAGACGAUGUUGCAGAAUCCUUGAAACUAUCUGGGUAAAAAAAAAUAUAUUCGGAUUAUAUUUUAAUAAAAUAAAAACUUCAGCUUCAGCAUUAGAUAACAAUUAUAUUAGCAACUCUCUAGAAUCUAGAUUUACCUCAAGAAGAAGAAUAACCUCUGUUGCGAAUGUAUUCAUUGUAUAUGGAGUGGAAAUCAUAUAUGAGAGCUAUUAUGUCCAAUAUAUCAGUAAGAACCAUCUUGAUUUUUCUUAUUGACAAUUUUUCGUCCAAAUUGCUCUGGAUUGUGUUAAGAAAAGGAUGAAAAGCAAAUAUAUUCCCUGGCUUGGUGUAAUGGAUAACCAACUGCACAACAAUAUCAGCCACUUUGAUACUUUUCUUUCAGCUAGGAUUUCUCACAUUUCAUUAUUAUGUUUUCACUCAUAAUUAAUCAUUAUUGUUGUCGAUUGAUUAUCGUUUCUAGUUUCAACGGUGAGUCACUACUGCAAUACUGAAUAAGAUUUUAAACGAUAAUUAUUUCUGAAAACAUUAUGAAAUGUAAAAAAAUCCAAGCUUAAAGCAAAGUUUAUAUCAUAAGAAAAUAUGUUUUCAUGUUUUAAUUGGAUAGAGGGCGUCCUAGUGGCUAUUCUUGUACAUCAAUUAACAAUCCCUAUAUUUUAUCUUCUCUCUGAUAUUAUCUAUAGGGACAGUUAAAUGUACAGUUUUCACAUUUCAUCAUGUAUUCAGUCAUAAAGAAAUUAGUCAUUAGGAAUAUUGAAUGACUUAGAGAGCUCCACGAUAAUCAUAGUUGACAAAAUUAUUGUAACUUUUGCAAAUACUGUUAAGUAUUUUCCUCCCCUGAUAAAAAGAAAAAAUGAAAGUGUCUAUUAAUUUGAUGAAACAAAGGAUUCUUUCAGAAAAUUAUUAAUCUGUACUGAAAGAUUCGUAACUACAGAAGUGGUGGAAGAAUUAAAGUGAAGUAAAUUGUUUCCAAUUUCUUCAAUAGAGACUAAACAUAUGGUUCAUCAAAUCGAAAAAUAAAUUGUUGUGAAAUCAUUUGGAAGUACACAUAGAAAUAUGGUGUUUUCGCAGCUAUAAACUAGCAAAUCUAAUGCUUAACUAUAUUUAUGUGUAUAGAUGUAAAUCCGGUGUGUUUUUUAGCUGGCCUGUUAAUUUGUAAUUGAUAGUAUAAAGAAAGAAUUUUAUUUUCUCUAACAGUUUUCAUAAUUAUUUAAUUCCUGAGUAGCAAACUUAUUUUCCUAAAUAAUAAUAUGUAUUACACCUUGAUAAUAAUACUCACUACUUUUCAUUA
rnacentral:lncRNA from 1 species